UUUUGCUGUCGGCUUGAAAAAGCCCUCCCCCGCCCCCAUAAUCCAAGACAUGGUUGUAAUUCCAGCAAGCUGGAGGCGUUCUGGACGGGGGUUCGAUUCCCCCCAUCUCCACCCAAGGGCAUUUGUUUGAGUGUCCUUGUCUGGGGGUGUACUGGUUUCGACAGGGCGACAAAGGGGCGCAGGCAACCCGAGAGGCGACGGACGUAAUCCGCGCAAAUCCAUAAUUGCCAACGAUGAGCAAUUCGCUAUUGCUGCCUAAACAGCUUAGCUGGGGCCGCUGAAGCCUUAUUACCCAAGACAGCCGGCGGGGACUUCGGUCCCCGUCGUCA
rnacentral:tmRNA from 1 species